AAAAUAGGUAAAUCACUAAUGUUUGAACGCUUUAAGUUUUUCUAGGGAAAAACACCACCUUAAUUUUUACAAGUUUCCGUACCCACGUUUUUGACACACGGGUGCUCACAGACACCAACCGGUCACUGCAAGCGCCGCCGGUACAAGCCAGCCCCUCUUUACCCCCACCAUCAAUUGUAGAACGUUUUCAGGGACGACAUUUUUAAGAUGCUUGAUAAUUAUUAAAUUGAGAAUAUAUCAAUGAAGUUUAACGAGAUUUCAUAAUAUUGCUUAAUUUUAUAAAGUGUUUUAUGAUUGGUGGAUUAUAUAUGAUUUCGAGAAUCGAAAUUUGGAAUAAUUGGAUAUCGAAACAAUAGAUUUCUACCAAUAAAAUUAUUUACUUUUAUAUAGCAACUUUCGAUUGGUUAUCAAGAUUUAUCCUUUUGAAUUUUACGAUUUAAAAUCAUCCAUCUUUUUAAACGAUCAUUUUCGUUAUGUGCUUCAUAAAGUAAAAAACUGAUUUAGAGAAGAUUUUAUUGAGAAAUAAUAAAAGAAGACAAAAUGCAA